UACGAAGGGGGCUAGCGUUGUUCGGAAUUACUGGGCGUAAAGCGCGCGUAGGCGGUGAUCUUUGUCAGAGGUGAAAUCCCGAGGCUCAACUUCGGAAUUGCCUUUGAAACGGGAUCGCUUGAGUCCGAGAGAGGAUGGCGGAAUUCCUAGUGUAGAGGUGAAAUUCGUAGAUAUUAGGAAGAACACCGGUGGCGAAGGCGGCCAUCUGGCUCGGUACUGACGCUCAGGCGCGAAAGCGUGGGGAG
rnacentral:rRNA from 1 species